CCUACGGGUGGCAGCAGUGAGGAAUAUUGGUCAAUGGUCGCGAGCCUGAACCAGCCAAGUCGCGUGAGGGAAGACGGUCCUGUGGAUUGUAAACCUCUUUUGUCGGGGAGCAAAAGCUGCCACGCGUGGCCGUCCGAGAGUACCCGAAGAAAAAGCAUCGGCUAACUCCGUGCCAGCAGCCGCGGUAAUACGGAGGAUGCGAGCGUUAUCCGGAUUUAUUGGGUUUAAAGGGUGCGCAGGCGGAAGGUCAAGUCAGCGGUAAAAUUGCGAGGCUCAACCCCUGCCAGCCGUUGAAACUGGCUGUCUUGAGUGAGUGAGAAGUAUGCGGAAUGCGUGGUGUAGCGGUGAAAUGCAUAGAUAUCACGCAGAACUCCGAUUGCGAAGGCAGCAUACCGGCGCUCAACUGACGCUGAGGCACGAAAGUGUGGGUAUCGAACAGGAUUAGAUACCCCUGUAGUC
rnacentral:rRNA from 1 species